rnacentral:rRNA from 1 species
UACAGAGGUCCCAAGCGUUGUUCGGAUUCACUGGGCGUAAAGGGUGCGUAGGCGGUCGGGUAAGUCUGACGUGAAAUCUCCGGGCCUAACCCGGAAACUGCGUCGGAUACUAUCCGGCUAGAGGAUUGGAUGGGAGACUGGAAUACUUGGUGUAGCAGUGAAAUGCGUAGAUAUCAAGUGGAACACCAGUGGCGAAGGCGAGUCUCUGGACAAUUCCUGACACUGAGGCACGAAAGCUAGGGGAGCAAACAGG